AACAAAAACACGCAAAAUCGGCAGCACAACAAUGACUUCAAAAGAAAUUGACGGGACUGUGGAGGCUUACCAGGAAAUUUUUAGAAGAAGUAUAAACCACAAGGGCCAGAGCAUAAAGGUUCCUGGAAGGAUUUGUUUACGAAACCUUUUUCACUGCUUCUGGAGGUUUGUUGGUUAAUUUCUCAUUCCGGUCAAAUUUAACUCCAUCACUACCAUGUUGGGGGUUCCCUAAUGCCAGAUGACAUCUCCAGGACAGCAAAGAGAGGUAUACACCACAAAGGCAGAGCAUAAAGGAUGGCUGGGAGAUUUGAUAAACUUACUGUUGUAGGAGAACAAUUUCAAGCAUUGAUAUAUAUUAGAAAAUUGUGCUGUCAGUCUUUUGUAUGUUGGAGGACAAGCUUCUCCUUGAAAACUGGAACAAAUGUGAAAUAAAGAAUGUGUAUCUUCAUAUUGAGACUUUUCCUUGUAAAAUUACCUCUGGGAAAAAGUUUAUUUCAUAUCAAUUUAUUGUGUUCAUUAUCUGGUUUAAUUUCAUAUUUGUAAUUGUUUUAAAAUUGCAUGGCGAAACAUAUUUUUGCUCACCUUAGUCAAAAGCUUAAGUGAGUUUUUUUGAUCUGAUUUCUUUGUUGUCUGUUGUGUUGUAAACUUGUUACAACUUAAUUUUUGUUCAAAUGAUGCCCCUUUCCCCCUGGGAGCUUGAGACCAUUUAUAAAGUUAAACUUUUCAAAAUGGAACUGAUAUCUUCUUUUUUUCAAGCCGAGAUACUCAGGUGAGUAAUGUGGCAGACGGGCCUCUUAUUAUAUUAGAUAUGUACAUUGAUUCACAAGUAUGUACUUUGUAGCGACAUCAAUUAGAAGCAAUAUCAUUUUUAAACCACAGUUUGAUAGCAGAAAUUUUAUUUUCAAGAAAAUGUUGGAGGCAUAUGUUUAUAUAUAUUAUAUUAAUUUCAUGUUUGUGAAUUUCAAAACCGAUUUUAGCUACAAUUUACAUUGGAAAAAAAAUGCAGUUGUCCAACUUGUGUCUAUUGUGUGUCAUGAAAGAAAAAUCUUAC